GAUGAACGCCGGCGGCGUGCCUAAUACAUGCAAGUCGAGCGAACAGACGAGGAGCUUGCUCCUCUGACGUUAGCGGCGGACGGGUGAGUAACACGUGGAUAACCUACCUAUAAGACUGGGAUAACUUCGGGAAACCGGAGCUAAUACCGGAUAAUAUAUUGAACCGCAUGGUUCAAUAGUGAAAGACGGUUUUGCUGUCACUUAUAGAUGGAUCCGCGCCGCAUUAGCUAGUUGGUAAGGUAACGGCUUACCAAGGCAACGAUGCGUAGCCGACCUGAGAGGGUGAUCGGCCACACUGGAACUGAGACACGGUCCAGACUCCUACGGGAGGCAGCAGUAGGGAAUCUUCCGCAAUGGGCGAAAGCCUGACGGAGCAACGCCGCGUGAGUGAUGAAGGUCUUCGGAUCGUAAAACUCUGUUAUUAGGGAAGAACAAAUGUGUAAGUAACUAUGCACGUCUUGGCGGUACCUAAUCAGAAAGCCACGGCUAACUACGUG
rnacentral:rRNA from 1 species